rnacentral:rRNA from 1 species
UACGGAGGGUGCAAGCGUUACUCGGAAUCACUGGGCGUAAAGCGCGCGCAGGCGGCUAUUUAAGUUGGAUGUGAAAGCCUACGGCUCAACCGUAGAACUGCAUCCAAAACUAUUUAGCUAGAGUGUGGGAGAGGAAGAUGGAAUUAGUUGUGUAGGGGUAAAAUCCGUAGAGAUAACUAGGAAUACCAAAAGCGAAGGCAAUCUUCUGGAACACUACUGACGCUGAGGCGCGAAAGCGUGGGGAGCAAACAGGAUUAGAUACCCUGGUAGUCCACGCAGUAAACGAUGAAUGUUAGUCGUCGGGGGCCUAGUGUCUUCGGUGAUGCAGCUAACGCAUUAAACAUUCCGCCUGGGGAGUACGGUCGCAAGAUUAAAACUCAAAGGAAUAGACGGGGACCCGCACAAGUGGUGGAGCAUGUGGUUUAAUUCGAAGAUACGCGAAGAACCUUACCUAGCCUUGACAUAUUUUAGAACUCCGUAGAGAUACAGAGGUGCCUUCGGGAGCUAAUUUACAGGUGCUGCACGGCUGUCGUCAGCUCGUGUCGUGAGAUGUUGGGUUAAGUCCCGCAACGAGCGCAACCCUCGUCACUAGUUACUAACGGUUCGGCCGAGGACUCUAGUGAGACUGCCUUCGUAAGGAGGAGGAAGGUGAGGACGACGUCAAGUCAUCAUGGCCCUUACGGCUAGGGCAACACACGUGCUACAAUGGCCAGGACAGUGAGACGCGAUACCGUGAGGUGGAGCAAAUCUAUAAACCUGGUCUCAGUUCGGAUUGUAGUCUGCAACUCGACUACAUGAAGCUGGAAUCACUAGUAAUCGUAGAUCAGCUAUGCUACGGUGAAUACGUUCCCGGGUC